rnacentral:rRNA from 1 species
AUUGAACGCUGGCGGCAUGCUUUACACAUGCAAGUCGAACGGUAACAGGCCGCAAGGUGCUGACGAGUGGCGAACGGGUGAGUAAUGCAUCGGAACGUGCCCAGUCGUGGGGGAUAACGCAGCGAAAGCUGUGCUAAUACCGCAUACGAUCUGUGGAUGAAAGCGGGGGAUCGCAAGACCUCGCGCGAAUGGAGCGGUCGAUAUCAGAUUAGCUAGUUGGUGAGGUAAAGGCUCACCAAGGCGACGAUCUGUAGCUGGUCUGAGAGGACGACCAGCCAAACUGGAACUGAGGCACGGUGCAGACGCCUACGGGAGGGAGCAGUGGGGUAUUUUGGACAAUGGGCGCAAGCCUGAUCCAGCAAUGCCGCGUGCAGGAUGAAGGCCUUCGGGUUGUAAACUGCUUUUGUACGGAGCGAAAAGGCUCUCUCUAAUACAGGGGGCUCAUGACGGUACCGUAAGAAUAAGCACCGGCUAACUACGUGCCAGCCGCCGCCGUAAGAC